rnacentral:rRNA from 1 species
AGUAACGCGUGAGGAACCUGCCUCAAAGAGGGGGACAACAGUUGGAAACGACUGCUAAUACCGCAUAAGCCCACGGUGCCGCAUGGCACAGAGGGAAAAGGAGCAAUCCGCUUUGAGAUGGCCUCGCGUCCGAUUAGCUAGUUGGUGAGGUAACGGCCCACCAAGGCAACGAUCGGUAGCCGGACUGAGAGGUUGAACGGCCACAUUGGGACUGAGACACGGCCCAG